UACGUAGGUGGCAAGCGUUGACCGGAAUUAUUGGGCGUAAAGCGCGCGCAGGCGGUCUCUUAAGUCUGAUGUGAAAUCCCCCGGCUCAACCGGGGAGGGCCAUUGGAAACUGGGAGGCUUGAGUCUAGGAGAGAAGAGUAGAAUUCCACGUGUAGCGGUGAAAUGCGUAGAGAUGUGGAGGAACACCAGUGGCGAAGGCGACCCCUUGGACUAUAACUGACGCUGAGGCGCGAAAGCGUGGGGAGCAAACAGG
rnacentral:misc_RNA from 1 species